GUUAUAGGGUCAAGCGAACAAGUGCAUGUGGUGGAUGCCUUGGCGAUCACAGGCGAUGAAGGACGCGGUAGCCUGCGAAAAGCUACGGGGAGCUGGCAAACGAGCUUUGAUCCGUAGAUGUCCGAAUGGGGAAACCCGGCCCUUUUGGGUCAUCCUAGACUGAAUACAUAGGUCUAGUGAAGCGAACGCGGUGAACUGAAACAUCUAAGUAACCGCAGGAAAAGAAAUCAACCGAGAUUCCCAAAGUAGUGGCGAGCGAAAUGGGAUGAGCCUUGUACUCUUUAUUUGUAUUGUUAGCCGAACGCUCUGGAAAGUGCGGCCAUAGCAGGUGAUAGCCCUGUAGGCGAAAACAGUAUGAAAGAACUAGGUGUACGACAAGUAGGGCGGGACACGUGAAAUCCUGUCUGAAGAUGGGGGGACCAUCCUCCAAGGCUAAAUACUCGUGAUCGACCGAUAGUGAACCAGUACCGUGAGGGAAAGGCGAAAAGAACCCCGGGAGGGGAGUGAAAUAGAUCCUGAAACCGCAUGCAUACAAACAGUCGGAGCCUCGUAAGGGGUGACGGCGUACCUUUUGUAUAAUGGGUCAGCGACUUACGUUCAGUAGCAAGCUUAACCAUAUAGGGCAGGCGUAGCGAAAGCGAGUCCGAAUAGGGCGUUCAGUUGCUGGGCGUAGACCCGAAACCAGGUGAUCUAUCCAUGGCCAGGAUGAAGGUGCGGUAACACGUACUGGAGGUCCGAACCCACUAACGUUGAAAAGUUAGGGGAUGAGCUGUGGAUAGGGGUGAAAGGCUAAACAAACCUGGAAAUAGCUGGUUCUCUCCGAAAACUAUUUAGGUAGUGCCUCGUGUCUCACCUUCGGGGGUAGAGCACUGUCAUGGUUGGGGGGUCUAUUGCAGAUU
rnacentral:rRNA from 1 species